rnacentral:rRNA from 1 species
AGCGAACGCUGGCGGCAGGCCUAACACAUGCAAGUCGAACGAACUCUUCGGAGUUAGUGGCGGACGGGUGAGUAACACGUGGGAACGUGCCCUUUGGUACGGAAUAACUCAGGGAAACUUGAGCUAAUACCGUAUGUGCCCUUCGGGGGAAAGAUUUAUCGCCAUUGGAGCGGCCCGCGUCUGAUUAGCUAGUUGGUGAGGUAAAGGCUCACCAAGGCUACGAUCAGUAGCUGGUCUGAGAGGAUGAUCAGCCUCAUUGGGACUGAGACACGGCCCAAACUCCUACGGGAGGCAGCAGUGGGGAAUCUUGCGCAAUGGGCGAAAGCCUGACGCAGCCAUGCCGCGUGAAUGAUGAAGGUCUUAGGAUUGUAAAAUUCUUUCACCGGGGACGAUAAUGACGGUACCCGGAGAAGAAGCCCCGGCUAACUUCGUG